UACACUCCUGCGGGAGGCAGCAGUGGGGAAUUUUGGACAAUGGGCGAAAGCCUGAUCCAGCAAUGCCGCGUGCAGGAUGAAGGCCUUCGGGUUGUAAACUGCUUUUGUACGGAACGAAAAAGCUCCUUCUAAUACAGGGGGCCCAUGACGGUACCGUAAGAAUAAGCACCGGCUAACUACGUGCCAGCAGCCGCGGUAAUACGUAGGGUGCGAGCGUUAAUCGGAAUUACUGGGCGUAAAGCGUGCGCAGGCGGUUAUGUAAGACAGAUGUGAAAUCCCCGGGCUCAACCUGGGAACUGCAUUUGUGACUGCAUGGCUAGAGUACGGUAGAGGGGGAUGGAAUUCCGCGUGUAGCAGUGAAAUGCGUAGAUAUGCGGAGGAACACCGAUGGCGAAGGCAAUCCCCUGGACCUGUACUGACGCUCAUGCACGAAAGCGUGGGGAGCAAACAGGAUUAGAUACCCUGGUAGUCCCAU
rnacentral:rRNA from 1 species